AGUCUGAACCAGCCAAGUAGCGUGCAGGAUGACGGCCUCUAGGGUUGUAAACUGCUUUUAUGUGGGAAUAAAGUGGCGCACGUGUGCGCCAUUGCAUGUACCUCAUGAAUAAGGACCGGCUAAUUCCGUGCCAGCAGCCGCGGUAAUACGGAAGGUCCGGGCGUUAUCCGGAUUUAUUGGGUUCAAAGGGAGUGUAGGCGGUCUGUUAAGCGUGUUGUGAAAUUUAGGUGCUCAACAUUUAACUUGCAGCGCGAACUGUCAGACUUGAGUACACGCAGCGCAGGCGGAAUUCAUGGUGUAGCGGUGAAAUGCUUAGAUAUCAUGAGGAACUCCGAUCGCGAAGGCAGCCUGCGGGAGUGUUACUGACGCUUAAGCUCGAAGGUGCGGGUAUCGAACAGGAUUAGAUACCCUGGUAGUCCGCACAGUAAACGAUGGAUGCCCGCCGUUGGCGCCCUGCGCCUGCGGCCAAGCGAAAGCAUGAAGCAUCCCACCUGGGGGAGUACGCCGGCAACGGUGAAACUCAAAGGAAUUGACGGGGGCCCGCACAAGCGGAGGAACAUGUGGUUUAAUUCGAUGAUACGCGAGGAACCU
rnacentral:rRNA from 1 species